rnacentral:rRNA from 1 species
AGGACGAGGAUAACUAUUGGAAACGAUAGCUAAUACUGGAUAGGAUAUUAGAUCGCAUGAUCUUAUAUUUAAAGAAGCUUUCAAGCUUCACCUUUGGAUGGUCUUGCGCUGUAUUAGCUAGUUGGUGAGGUAACGGCUCACCAAGGCGACGAUACAUAGCUGGUCUGAGAGGACGAACAGCCACACUGGGACUGAGACACGGCCCAGACUCCUACGGGAGGCAGCAGUAGGGAAUUUUCGGCAAUGGGCGCAAGCCUGACCGAGCAAUGCCGCGUGAACGAUGAAGGCCUUCGGGUCGUAAAGUUCUGUUAUUUGGGAAGAACACAUAGUCUAGGAAAUGAUUCUAUAUUGACGGGUACCUUAUCAGAAAGCU